AGAACUACAGCUCAGUGUUAGAGCAUCUGAUCUUCAUGUAGAAGGUCCCUGGUUCAAUCCCUUGUAGCUCCU